UACGGAGGGUGCAAGCGUUGUCCGGAUUUAUUGGGUUUAAAGGGUGCGUAGGCGGCUUUUUAAGUCAGUGGUGAAAUCCUACAGCUUAACUGUAGAACCGCCAUUGAUACUGAAGAGCUUGAGUACAGACGAGGUAGGCGGAAUUUAUGGUGUAGCGGUGAAAUGCGUAGAUAUCAGGAGGAACACCUGUGGCGAAAAGCGGCUCACUGGACCAUAACUGACGCUGAUGCACGAAAAGCUAGGGGGAGCAAACAGG
rnacentral:rRNA from 1 species